AUAACUUAUUAUAUUUCAUGAUAUAGGUAGGUACCUAUAGUUUUUAAAUUUUUAGAGUGUAGCGAUACAAUGAUAAUAUGAUAAUAUGUAAGUAUUACAUAUUUAUACUUACUAACAUUAAAAAUCGUAUAUUAUAUGGGAGAUAAAGUCGUUUGAAAUAUGCCGUACGAAUAAAAACGGGAAAAUUUAUUAUAAAAAUAAAAAUUCACGCGAAAUUCCGAUAUGAGAUUACACUUUAUCUUAAUCUACCGAUUGGGUACAAAUAGAUUUCAGAUAUGUAAUUAUUUCACGACACGAUCAAUAACACAAUAUUAUAGUUCAGUGUUCAGACCAGACGUUCAGUCUUCAGUGUAUCAGUGUAUCCUGUGUAUCUACAUUCUGCAGACAGCGCACUUGUGUAAGUCAAAAAGUUUAAUGUGACAUAUUAUCAUGUACAUCGAUUUUAAAAGUUCAAAAAUUGAAAACAUACAGUUACCUACCGUAAUAAUGUAAUAAUAUAACUCUCGAUGAUUUAUAUAGAGAAAAUAUUGUAUAUUCAAUUUGAAAAGUUGACAAUACUAUACUAAUAAGUAAUAACAAACAACACUUGUGCCUUGUGAGUUGUGGUAGUGGAUAAGAAAAAAACGGUGAAAAUAUAGCUUACAGAAACGACGAAAAAUAUGGAACGGAAUUGCAAUAAAAGUUUUAGAAUUUAGAACAAGAGAAGACUAUAGGUGAUGAGUUAAAAAUUGACAGUGGUGCUGACGAUGAUUUUUAAGAAAUAGUUGACAGUUUACACAAUGAAAGAUAUAUUUCUCCAAUCACCUCACGACAACAAACUUUGCCAGAUAACCCAAUAAGAUAUUAGAGCACGUAGCAAUAUUGGCAAUAUUGUGGUAUACUCGGAGGAUCAUGUCUUAUUUAAUGACAUGGUAUUAUAGUGGACACAUAAUAUACAGCAGAUCGGUCAGAUAGUUUCUAAUAAAUAUUAGUAAUCUAUUUUUUUAUAAUAACAAUUUAUUUUGGUUUUCAUUACUUCUUUUAUCUUAUUUAUUCAAUUAUUUUAUAAAUAUUCACAAAACGGCUUUUUAAAAAAGUAUAGCAAUAUCAUUAAUAACACAUUUUAGAAAACCAGUUUUAGUAAAUUUAAUUAAAUGGUUCAAGCUAAUAUGUACUUAUUUAUAUAGUGGUUGUAAUAAACUAUCAAAAAAUGAAUCUGAAGUUCAGGAUUAAUAAAUUUUAGUUUCAACCUAAAAGAGGACGAUUAUGAUAAAAAGAGAAAUAUUUUACAGAGGUUAAAACAAAUAAAAUGAAGAAAAGCAUGCAGAUACAAAGCUGGGGAACAAGAGAUAAAUUUGAUUGAAAAUUUAGUGAAACACAAUAAAAAGAAUGGAAAGAUAAAUGAAAUAUUAUAUAAUUUAUUUUAGCUAUAUUUUUAAAUUGUCUAUACAUUUUCUAUGUCAAAAAUGUAAUAACAUUUAACAAUAACAUAUGAUGAAGAUAUUUAAUAAUUUACUGAGAUAUGUUUAGCUUAUAAU